GAGGGCGAACCUAGUACGGAUUCCGAAGACUGUGUAGAAAUGAGAAAGGAUCAUCAGUACCAAUGGAAUGACCUAUCUUGUUCAGACCGAAUUCAGAGUCUAUGUCAAAUUGGAAUUCCUGCCUGCGGUGACCCAGGUGAACCUUUGCAUGGUAAUCGUUUACCAGACGACAGAACAACUUACUCCGUCGAUGCUACUCUUCAUUUCACCUGUCAGGAGGGAUACACAUUAACUGGAGAAAGCGUUGUAAGGUGUAUGACUAAUGGAGCAUGGAAUCAUCAAAGACCAUCGUGUGAAGCUGUCGAAUGUGAAGAAAGCCCCCCAAACGUCACACUUUCCUCCAACAUGAUACUAGGAUCAGUGUAUCAAGAUAUAGCUGUAUACAUAUGUCAGGGUGGUUAUAUUCCUGAUAAUGAACCAAUCAGCUUCUGCCAGCAUACAGGCAU